AAAAGGUCUGCCGUGGUUCAGAUAAGUGCCCUCCCACCCCCAUGCAAAGGAGGAGGUGAUGAAGCCUUUGAGAGGCGGGGCCUAAUGGGAGAACGAUCACAAGGGGGUGCGCCUUUGAAAGGAGUCUUGGGACCACGGCCUCCUCCUCUCCUUCGCUUCCUGACUGUCUUAAGCAUCAGAAACUUUUCACGACGAUGGUGCUGAAGGUCAAGAAGGAAGAAGCUCCUGCUCAUCCCAAGACUGAAGCCAAGAAGGCGGUGCCCGUGCCGAGAGAGGCGCCCCAGUCACAGGGGAAGAUCUGCACUUCCUCCCUUGUGGCUCUGGAGGCAGCACAAAUACCCUCUCAAAAGCAUGCCGGGAAGAAAGAAGCUUGACCAUUCCACCGUCAUCAGGACCCAGGGCCACCCCCCCCCCCAUCCCAACCACAGAGUCAGCCGUGAAAAAGACUCAAGACCUUAUCACACUUGUGCUCAUCAUCAGAUCAGCACAUAGGGCUCCGCUCCACUGCUAUGCUCCCUGCUAUGAUGACAAUGGACUAAGCCUCUGAAACUGUAAGCUGGCUCCCAGUGGUGACUGGCUAAAAUUGCUGCUGCUCUGCUGACCAUGAAAACCUAAGUUGGUACAGCAACUCAGGAGAGAAGUCUGGGUGUUGGCAAAUUCAAGUUGUAAAUAGCUCUGGAUCAGCAACCCUCAGCAGGUCUUUGGUCUGCUUUGGAGAAACUGUUACUUCAAUGUCUGAAGGCUCUUCACACCUGAAUUUGUAGCACAGAAAAACCGGAAACAACUUAGAUGUCAAUCAUCCAGUGAACAGAGAAGAAAUAAAUCUUGGUAUAUAACAGAAUAAAACUCCAACUGGAUUAGAGGGAGAGUACAGCUUUUCACCAGGAAGUGCAAGGUUCGGUCUCAGCAAACAUUAACUGACGGUUUAUGGGUGGAGUCACAGCUGUCUCUCCAGCAACCCGGCAAAGCAUUGAGGUCAAGAGGUCAAGCACAUGACCUAUACCGCCUACAACCUGCUGGAAAAAUAGGAGCUGGUCUUAUCCGAAUGCCAAGUCCAGCCUGGAAACUCGUAGGAAGAAGUUCUGUUGCCCUUGGCUCCGGGAAUUUGAAUUUAAAACAGAAAUACCCUAAGCUGAGCAUGGUGCCACAUGCCUGCAAUCCCAGCGUUGGGAAAGCAGAGGAGGAAGUACAGAACAGCACGAGCUGUCCGUUGCAAGAAGACAGGAUGCUGGGACCCUCCCCACUGCAGCCUUCUGUCCCCCGCCCCCCCAAGGUGAAGAUCAGGAGUCCCCAUUAGGCAGGCACGCAGGGAGCAGCUACCUUUAAGCACAGUAGGUCAGCCACAGGGCUGGCUGUGGCGAUGCUAAUGGGGGGCUCCCAGAGCUCUCAUAGAUGUAAACGUUCUUUCUGUCCUGACCUCUGUUUGCCUGUCUGGAAAACAGGGACACUGUAAAAGUUGACAGGCCCAGGGCACAGGUUAUUAUGCCCUCAGGUCUCUGUGUGUACUGGUAACAAACCUCCUGUGAACAUCAAACCCCGCUGAUGCUCCGCUCAGACAGACUCAAGUUGUGGGCGUUAGGCAGCCACUGGACAGCUCAGUCCGGGUUGGCGAUGGGGGUGGCCUGGGGGCAGCUCCUAACCCAACAUAACCUUCCCCUCCUCCCUGGAGCUGGCAUGGGUUCACUCAAGUUCUGGAUCUUAUUUUCAACUUAAUGGCUUAAGAAAAAAAAGAGAGAGAGAGAGAGAGAGAGAGAGAAGGAUGAAAAUAAACUCAACCCUAUGACUGUGGG